rnacentral:lncRNA from 1 species
AGACUUUUUGAGCCUGUGUCUUGCCUGGGCAUGGACAUGGCUUUCUAAAUUCUCUCAUAACAGCUGCUUUUGAGUGUCCUAAUUUCCCAAAGAGUCUUACUCCAGCUUCUCAUCUGGGCCUUAGACGGUCUACUCUGUGGCUCCACUCAAAAUCUCUUGCCCAGGCCAUGAGCCUAUAGUGAUCUUGCAGCUUGUAUUAACAGUGUCCACUUAUUUUUCCAGCUGUGUUCUGAGUUAGGUAACACAGACUAUUUACAAGGAGGAAAUUGGAACAAGGCUGGUUGCUGUGUUUCAAGACAAAGACUGCUGCCACACCGGGGAGAGGAUGGGGCCAGGGCUGCUGUGCCAAGACUGCAGGUGCCUGAUCAGACUUCAAACUGAUAUUUUUGUUGAGAACUUGAAAGAGGGAGAUUGUAAAUGGGCCCAAAGUCCUUCUGGAGAAAAACUAUUGUGAGGGAACAUUUUAGCAGGAGGAAAGAUUUUGUCAGGCUGAAUUGAUCCAGUUGUGUUUCCAGGGUAUCCAAGCCUCUCCCUGCGGCCCUGGCCCACCUCCUCCCCAUGCACCAGGCUCUGGCUCUCGGGUACUCCUCCUGCCAUGGGGCCCAGGCAGCAGCUACAAUGCAUGCUUUGUUCAG